GUCUGCACUUGUUGACUUGUGGUUACCGGUUUGAACAAUCAACAAUGACAGCAAUAAUAAAGGCAUUCUUGCUAACAUUACUUUUACAUGAGAUUGAUUGUCAAACCUUCACUCAGUCUCAAGCUGUGGUUAAAAAACCUGAUGAAUCUUUUAAACUGAUCUGCACCGCCUCUGGAUUUACAUUCAGCAGCUCCAGGGCAGCUGUGGUUAGACAGGCUCCUGGUAAAGGACUGGAAUGGAUUGCAUACAUCAGUACAUCCAGCUCUCCAAUCUACUAUUCCCAGUCAGUUCAGGGAAGAUUCACAGUGUCCAGAGACGACUCCAGCAGUCAACUGUAUCUACAGAUGAACAGACUAAAGACUGAAGACACAGCUGUGUAUUACUGUACCAGACAGUCACAGUGAAUCAGUCCAAUGUCAGUAUAAUACAAAAACAGUUCCUCAUUCAUGUUUCAUGUAGUUACUGCUAAACAAAAACAUUUAAUGCAUAUAGUAGGCUAUUGUUAUAUAAAUGCUUCAAAUCCAAUUCAUAUUACAGAUGACAUGCAAUGUUUACUUGUUUGAAAUGUUUGUCAUCAUUAGCAAUGUCACUAUACUGAAAAAGUCAUAAUUAAUCUGAUGUCAGUCCACAGAUAUAUUGUUUUAUCCAAAAGGUGGCACUCUUGUUAGUCAAAUGAGCACACUGUACUGUGUUGGCAUGUUUAAAUGUCAAACAUCACAUAUGCAUUUAAUUAAAGUUUCACUCCAUUUAUGAAGGCAUCUCAUUGUAAAACAAAUAACACUGUCUAAAAUGCUAUAAUCUCUCUAACAACAACAGAUAACAAAUAAAAUCAAUAAAAUUUAAAAACAAAAGUACUUGUGUUGAACAUCCUGGAAAACUGUUAUGGCUGUAUGCAAAUUCUCCACCUGCUCUUUGUACAAAAGUGAAGUCUGUGGAUCUGUAGGAGAAAGACGAAUUCAGCUUAAUAACAAACAUGAUCUUCUCAUUGGCUCUACUACUGCUGGCGGCAGCUGCUUCCUGUAAUUUCAUUCACGCUUUUAUCACACUUACAUAAGAUUAAUUUUAAACUGUUAACAGAGAUUAUUAUUAAUAAUACAUUCAUUCAUUGUUUUUCUCAGGUGGGGUUUUCUGUGUUGAG